rnacentral:rRNA from 1 species
GACGAACGCUGGCGGCGUGCCUAAUACAUGCAAGUAGAACGCUGAAGGAGGAGCUUGCUUCUCUGGAUGAGUUGCGAACGGGUGAGUAACGCGUAGGUAACCUGCCUGGUAGCGGGGGAUAACUAUUGGAAACGAUAGCUAAUACCGCAUAAGAGUAGAUGUUGCAUGACAUUUGCUUAAAAGGUGCAAUUGCAUCACUACCAGAUGGACCUGCGUUGUAUUAGCUAGUUGGUGGGGUAACGGCUCACCAAGGCGACGAUACAUAGCCGACCUGAGAGGGUGAUCGGCCACACUGGGACUGAGACACGGCCCAGACUCCUAAGGGAGGCAGCAGUAGGGAAUCUUCGGCAAUGGACGGAAGUCUGACCGAGCAACGCCGCGUGAGUGAAGAAGGUUUUCGGAUCGUAAAGCUCUGUUGUAAGAGAAGAACGAGUGUGAGAGUGGAAAGUUCACACUGUGACGGUAUCUUACCAGAAAGGGACGGCUAACUACGUG